rnacentral:rRNA from 1 species
GUAAACGAUGUCUACUUGGAGGUUGUGCCCUUGAGGCGUGGCUUCCGGAGCUAACGCGUUAAGUAGACCGCCUGGGGAGUACGGCCGCAAGGUUAAAACUCAAAUGAAUUGACGGGGGCCCGCACAAGCGGUGGAGCAUGUGGUUUAAUUCGAUGCAACGCGAAGAACCUUACCUGGUCUUGACAUCCACAGAACUUUCCAGAGAUGGAUUGGUGCCUUCGGGAACUGUGAGACAGGUGCUGCAUGGCUGUCGUCAGCUCGUGUUGUGAAAUGUUGGGUUAAGUCCCGCAACGAGCGCAACCCUUAUCC